UACGUAGGUGGCAAGCGUUGUCCGGAAUUAUUGGGCGUAAAGCGCGCGCAGGCGGUCCUUUAAGUCUGAUGUGAAAGCCCACGGCUCAACCCUGGAAUGCCGGUGGAUACUGUCGGGCUCGAGUCCGGAAGAGGUGAGUGGAAUUCCUGGUGUAGCGGUGAAAUGCGCAGAUAUCAGGAGGAACACCAAUGGCGAAGGCCGCACUCUGGGACGUGACUGACGCUGAGACGCGAAAGCGUGGGGAGCAAACAGG
rnacentral:rRNA from 1 species